rnacentral:rRNA from 1 species
UGGGGAAUAUUGCACAAUGGGCGAAAGCCUGAUGCAACAACGCCGCGUGAGUGAUGAAGGUCUUCGGAUUGUAAAGCUCUGUCUUUUGGGACGAUAAUGACGGUACCAAAGGAGGAAGCCACGGCUAACUACGUGCCAGCAGCCGCGGUAAUACGUAGGUGGCGAGCGUUGUCCGGAUUUACUGGGCGUAAAGGGUGCGUAGGCGGAUGUUUAAGUGAGAUGUGAAAUACCCGGGCUUAACUUGGGUGCUGCAUUUCAAACUGGAUAUCUAGAGUGCAGGAGAGGAGAAUGGAAUUCCUAGUGUAGCGGUGAAAUGCGUAGAGAUUAGGAAGAACACCAGUGGCGAAGGCGAUUCUCUGGACUGUAACUGACGCUGAGGCACGAAAGCGUGGGUAGCAAACAGGAUUAGAUACCCUGGUAGUCCACGCCGUAAACGAUGAGUACUAGGUGUAGGAGGUAUCGACCCCUUCUGUGCCGCAGUAAACACAUUAAGUACUCCGCCUGGGAAGUACGAUCGCAAGAUUAAAACUCUAAAGUGAAUUGAC